GGAGGAGGAUAUCGAACCAUGGAAGAGUUGCUGGAAGUGAUAAUACAGGAACAGGAAUCCACAAAAUAUGGUUGGUCUUGCUAAUUGCUGAGUGAUACUAUAAUACCUUGCUUGUGUUAUUUGUCAAAUGGUAUUGAAGAAGAUUUCAUGUAGCCUGUUACUCAGUCCGAUUAUUCUUGCUGCUCUGACGAGCAAUACACUCUUCCGAAGAUGGCGGUGUUCCUCCCCAUGAAAGCUGGUAUAUGGAGGUACUGACUUAUUCAACAGAGAUUGUACCAGAUAUAAAACACGUCCUGCUAGGCCAAUCUCUCUAGCAUUGUUAUUAAAAGUCAUCGCUUCAUCGCUUAAAGCAAGAGCAAUACGGAAUUUGGGAUUACCACUUCACAGGUGAAGCCAUGCAGUUGAUAAAAAUGUGUGCUUCAAAGCAUGAAACGCACUCUAAUCCCAACGAGAAACGACAUGUUCUUUGAAUCUCAACUUUGUGAUCUAGAUUAAUAUCAGCAUUAGUUAUAUUGAAUACUGAAAUAAGUUAUUGCAGUUGCAAUUUGAUCAGUAUAGUACUAAAUCAAUUUAUGUUUGCUACAUUUUUGUCGUG